rnacentral:lncRNA from 1 species
GGGCUAUAUGUGGGUGUAAGGGGCUGUAUUUAAAUAUGAGAUAUUACAAAGGACUAAAUUUCUGGGUUUAGAGAAAUGUAAUCCCUAAUUUAAAAUAGUCUCCCUAUGAAGGAAGCCUAUUAAAGGCAUGUUUAUCUUUGGAGAAAUCCUUUGAUUCAAGUUUUGAAGGACUUUGAAAGCACUGCACAGAGUAAGCAAAAAUAACAGCAGCUCCCUCACCAACCAUGUUGAUACAAAGCAGAUUCUGUAAAACUCAUCUUUUCACUUGGUGUUUUCUGCUAACAAGUGGGCAGCAGGAUGACUAGGAGAAGUAUCUUUUGGCAGGUCACCAAAUCUAGAAACUGGGGCUAGUGUGGAAAUCCAUUUUUACAACACUGAAAGGGACAGGAUAAUUUUCUGUUAGUCUUCUCCACAGUCCAAAAAAGUACAAAUGCCCAAGUGAGGUUUUGGAUGAUAGGUUCCUAAAACCAUAACUGUCAAUGCUUAAGGAUGAAGUGUAAGAACCAAAAUAGGAAUGGAUACUGGGGAAGUGACUUUUUAAAAAAAUAACUGCAGAGAUAAAUUCAGCAUGUGUAGGUUGGCUCCAAAAGUCUCACAAGGGAGAGUUUUGGUUUGUUUUUUAUUUGCUUUUUUAAUUUUUUUUUUCUAUUUCUUCAAUCUUUCUUUUAAAUGUCCAAGUUUGGAAGACAGAGAAAAGAAGCAGAGGUGUGCUUGAAUCAGCAGGAGGGGUUGGGUUCAACAUUGAUUGAAGGUGUUUGGUGGAGCUGCAUCAGAGACCUGUCCACCUCUCUGUGCAGAAACCAGGAUGUCAGCAGAGAUGAGACCUCUAGAACAGCACUGGCAAACCAUGCAAACUGAAAUCCCCUAAGGAUUAUAAAAAAGUACCUCAAUAGCAAAGAAUGCUAAUACAGCUUUAGCAGGUAAGUUUCUCUGCUUCUUAAACUGAUCAGUGAGGAUUUUGGCAGUUUCUAUAACAUCAGAGCAUGUUACACAUUUCCAUGCAGUAUGGAACAUAACCUCACAUCCCAGCUCUGAGGUAAGUACCCAAGAUUAUCCCCAUCUUAAAGAGUAGAAAGUCAGGUCUUUCUGACUUUAAUAUGACAUAAAAUGAUUAACCUACAAAUCCAAUAAAGAAACUAGGUGCCUAAAAUGAUGCUUAAGA